GUAGUCCACGCCCUAAACGAUGUCGAUUAGCUGUUGGGCAACUUGAUUGCUUAGUAGCGUAGCUAACGCGUGAAAUCGACCGCCUGGGGAGUACGGUCGCAAGAUUAAAACUCAAAGGAAUUGACGGGGACCCGCACAAGCGGUGGAUGAUGUGGAUUAAUUCGAUGCAACGCGAAGAACCUUACCUGGUCUUGACAUGUACGGAAGAACUCAGAGACGAGUUUGUGCCUUCGGGAGCCGUAACACAGGUGCUGCAUGGCUGUCGUCAGCUCGUGUCGUGAGAUGUUGGGUUAAGUCCCGCAACGAGCGCAACCCUUGUCAUUAGUUGCCAUCAUUUAGUUGGGCACUCUAAUGAGACUGCCGGUGACAAACCGGA
rnacentral:rRNA from 1 species